rnacentral:rRNA from 1 species
GACGAACGCUGGCGGCGUGCUUAACACAUGCAAGUCGAACGGAAAGGCCCUGCUUUUGUGGGGUGCUCGAGUGGCGAACGGGUGGGUAACACGUGAGUAACCUGCCCUUGACUUUGGGAUAACUUCAGGAAACUGGGGCUAAUACCGGAUAGGAGCUCCUGCUGCAUGGUGGGGGUUGGAAAGUUUCGGCGGUUGGGGAUGGACUCGCGGCUUAUCAGCUUGUUGGUGGGGUAGUGGCUUACCAAGGCUUUGACGGGUAGCCGGCCUGAGAGGGUGACCGGCCACAUUGGGACUGAGAUACGGCCCAGACUCCUACGGGAGGCAGAAGUGGGGAAUAUUGCACAAUGGGCGGAAGCCUGAUGCAGCAACGCCGCGUGCGGGAUGACGGCCUUCGGGUUGUAAACCGCUUUCGCCUGUGACGAAGCGUGAGUGACGGUAAUGGGUAAAGAAGCACCGGCUAACUACGUG